ACUAAAAGGAAUCCGAGGAUCCCCAUUUUGGACACCUCCAUUCUCUUGGGGAGUUGAAAAUACUCUCCCCGGAUUCAUCCUUCAAUUGCUUGAAACAGAGAUCUCUAGUUACGGAAGGAACAGCUCUAUCUGCUGCCACAUCCUUAGGUGGAUUUCUAUACUUGGAGCUUGCAUGAAAUUGUUAUAAUGUAUCUAUUUUGAUUAUUGAGAUAGAGAUGUGAUCGUAUAAGUAAUUAGAUAAUAUGUUCAUAUUUUUAAUUCACCUUUUUUUAUUUGUAUUGUAUUUAUUUUUAU